GCGGCUCAACCGUAGAACUGCCAUUGAAACUGGGGGGCUUGAAUACAGAUGAAGUAGGCGGAAUGAGUAGUGUAGCGGUGAAAUGCAUAGAUAUUACUCAGAACACCGAUUGCGUAGGCAGCUUACUAAACUGAUAUUGACGCUGAGGCACGAAAGCGUGGGGAGCGAACAGGAUUAGAUACCCUGGUAGUCCACGCAGUAAACGAUGUUCACUCGCUGUUUGCGAUAUACAGUAAGCGGCUUAGCGAAAGCAUUAAGUGAACCACCUGGGGAGUACGUCGGCAACGGUGAAACUCAAAGGAAUUGACGGGGGCCCGCACAAGCGGAGGAACAUGUGGUUUAAUUCGAUGAUACGCGAGGAACCUUACCUGGGCUUAAAUGUAGGUUGCAUGAGGUGGAAACACCCUUCCCUUCGGGGCUACCUACAAGGUGCUGCAUGGUUGUCGUCAGCUCGUGCCGUGAGGUGUCGGGUUAAGUCCCAUAACGAGCGCAACCAUUACCGUUAGUUGCCAUCAGGUCAAGCUGGGAACUCUAACGGGACUGCCACCGUAAGGUGGGAGGAAGGUGGGGAUGACGUCAAAUCAGCACGGCCAUUAUGUCCAGGGCUACACACGUGUUACAAUGGCCGGUACAGAGGGCAGCUACACCGCGAGGUGGUGCUAAUCCUAAAAGCCGGUCCCAGUUCGGAUCGUAGUCUGCAACCCGACUACGUGAAGUUGGAUUCGCUAGUAAUCGCGCAUCAGCCAUGGCGCGGUGAAUACGUUCCCGGGCAUUGUACACACCGCCCGUCAAACCAUGGAAGCUGGGGGGACAUGAAGUCUGUCACCGAAAGGAGCGGC
rnacentral:rRNA from 1 species